rnacentral:rRNA from 1 species
UACGUAGGUGGCAAGCGUUGUCCGGAUUUACUGGGCGUAAAGAGCGCGCAGGCGGUUGUCUAAGUCGAAUGUGAAAGCCCCCGGCUCAACUGGGGAGGGUCAUUCGAUACUGAUCGACUUGAAGGCAGGAGAGGGAAGUGGAAUUCCGGGUGUAGUGGUGAAAUGCGUAGAUAUCGGGAGGAACACCUGUGGCGAAAGCGGCGCACUGGACCACAUCUGACGCUGAGGCGCGAAAGCUAGGGGAGCAAACAGG